ACCUGAGAGAUCAGGUGUUCCCUUCGGGGACAGAAUGACAGGUGGUGCAUGGUUGUCGUCAGCUCGUGUCGUGAGAUGUUGGGUUAAGUCCCGCAACGAGCGCAACCCUUAUUGCCAGUUGCCAGCAUUCAGUUGGGCACUCUGACAAGACUGCCGGUGACAAACCGGAGGAAGGUGGGGAUGACGUCAAAUCAUCAUGCCCCUUAUGACCUGGGCUACACACGUGCUACAAUGGACGAUACAACGAGUUGCUAGACCGCGAGGUUAAGCUAAUCUCUUAAAGUCGUUCUCAGUUCGGAUUGCAGGCUGCAACUCGCCUGCAUGAAGUCGGAAUCGCUAGUAAUCGCGGAUCAGCAUGCCGCGGUGAAUACGUUCCCGGGUCUUGUACACACCGA
rnacentral:rRNA from 1 species